UUAUUAUUCUAAAUGUUAAUUGUGUGCCCCU
rnacentral:piRNA from 1 species